rnacentral:rRNA from 1 species
GGUUGAUCCUGCCGGACCUGACUGCUAUCGGAUUGAUACUAAGCCAUGCGAGUCAUUGUAGUAAUACAAGGCAGACGGCUCAGUAACGCGUAGUCAACCUAACCUAUGGACGGGAAUAACCUCGGGAAACUGAGUAUAAUGCCCGAUAGAACAUUAUGCCUGGAAUGGUUUAUGUUCCAAAUGAUUUAUCGCCGUAGGAUGGGACUGCGGCCUAUCAGUUUGUUGGUGAGGUAAUGGCCCACCAAGACUAUUACAGGUACGGGCUCUGAGAGGAGUAGCCCGGAGAUGGGUACUGAGACACGGACCCAGGCCCUAUGGGGCGCAGCAGGCGAGAAAACUUUGCAAUGUGCGAAAGCACGACAAGGUUAAUCCGAGUGGUUUCUGCUAAAGGAACCUUUUGUUAGUCCUAGAAACACUAACGAAUAAGGGGUGGGCAAGUUCUGGUGUCAGCCGCCGCGGUAAAACCAGCACCUCAAGUGGUCAGGAUGAUUAUUGGGCCUAAAGCAUCCGUAGCCGGCUCUGUAAGUUUUCGGUUAAAUCUGUACGCUCAACGUACAGGCUGCCGGAAAUACUGCAGAACUAGGGAGUGGGAGAGGUAGACGGUACUCGGUAGGAAGUGGUAAAAUGCUUUGAUCUAUCGAUGACCACCUGUGGCGAAGGCGGUCUACCAGAACACGUCCGACGGUGAGGGAUGAAAGCUGGGGGAGCAAACCGGAUUAGAUACCCGGGUAGUCCCAGCUGUAAACUAUGCAAACUCAGUGAUGCAUUGGCUUGUGGCCAAUGCAGUGCUGCAGGGAAGCCGUUAAGUUUGCCGCCUGGGAAGUACGUACGCAAGUAUGAAACUUAAAGGAAUUGGCGGGGGAGCACCACAAGGGGUGAAGCCUGCGGUUCAAUU